GAUGAACGCUAGCGGCAGGCCUAACACAUGCAAGUCGAGGGGUAACAGGAAAGCUUGCUUUUGCUGACGACCGGCGCACGGGUGCGUAACGCGUAUGCAACCUACCUCAUACAGGAGGAUAGCCCUUGGAAACGAGGAUUAAUACUCCAUGGUAUCACGAAUUCGCAUGUUUUUGUGAUUAAAGUUUUCGGUAUGAGAUGGGCAUGCGUCCCAUUAGCUUGUUGGUGAGGUAACGGCUCACCAAGGCGACGAUGGGUAGGGGGCCUGAGAGGGUGGUCCCCCACACUGGUACUGAGACACGGACCAGACUCCUACGGGAGCAGCAGUGAGGAAUAUUGGUCAAUGGAGGCAACUCUGAACCAGCCAUGCCGCGUGAAGGAUGACGGCCCUAUGGGUU
rnacentral:rRNA from 1 species